AUCGAGCCGAAUUCCCUUCACGGGGAACGGGGGAACCACUUUGGGUGAAUUGAUCUCGUAACAGAGGGAUCAUAGGGAGACCUUCAACCGAAUCCUUAAGCUAACCUCGUAGGCAGUGGAAGGAG
rnacentral:sRNA from 1 species